GUCCAAACAGGACUGGCUCUAAAAACCCAGUACUUCAAGAACUCAAUUGGAACCUUCCACCACACAACAGCCUUUUUCUUCUCCUCCUCGGCUUCCACCUCUGUCCUAGCUUCAAUUUCAAAACCCUCAGCACCUUCAUUUUUCACACCAGCAUCAGUCGACCCCUUUUCAUUCUUUUCCUCCACUAAAGCCACUGAAUUAGCGUUUUCCUCACAACUCGAUUCGCCAUCCACCUCAACGACCUCCUCCCCAACUUUCACAGAAUCCAAUUCAACCCCACCCGAAACAGACAAAAGCUUCUCAAAAUUCUCCAAACUUUUCCCAUUUACACCUCCACCUAUUUCCUCAAUCCCUCCAGACCCCACUUGCAUCUUCUCAUUUCCAUC
rnacentral:lncRNA from 1 species